GACGAACGCUGGCGGCGUGCUUAACACAUGCAAGUCGAACGCGCCUGUCCUCUGGGUUUCUGGGGGGUGGGUGAGUGGCGAACGGGUGAGUAACACGUGAGUAACCUGCCCCCUUCUUCGGGAUAACGGUCUGAAAGGGCUGCUAAUACCGGGUAUUCACUGGUCUCCGCAUGGGGUCUGGUGGAAAGGUUUUUUUCUGGUGGGGGAUGGGCUCGCGGCCUAUCAGCUUGUUGGUGGGGUGAUGGCCCACCAAGGCUUUGACGGGUAGCCGGCCUGAGAGGGUGACCGGUCACAGUGGGACUGAGAUACGGCCCAGACUCCUACGGGAGGCAGCAGUGGGGAAUAUUGCACAAUGGGCGCAAGCCUGAUGCAGCGACGCCGCGUGAGGGAUGGAGGCCUUCGGGUUGUGAACCUCUUUCGCCCGUGGUCAAGCCGCGACGUGGGUCGUGGUGAGGGUAGUGGGUAAAGAAGCGCCGGCUAACUACGUG
rnacentral:rRNA from 1 species